UACGUAGGUGGCAAGCGUUGUCCGGAUUUACUGGGUGUAAAGGGCGUGUAGCCGGGCUGACAAGUCAGAUGUGAAAUUCCGGGGCUCAACCCCGGACCUGCAUUUGAAACUGUUGGUCUUGAGUAUCGGAGAGGCAGGCGGAAUUCCUAGUGUAGCGGUGAAAUGCGUAGAUAUUAGGAGGAACACCAGUGGCGAAGGCGGCCUGCUGGACGACAACUGACGGUGAGGCGCGAUAGCGUGGGGAGCAAACAGG
rnacentral:rRNA from 1 species